rnacentral:miRNA from 1 species
UGCCCUCAUGGAGCUUACAUUCUAGCUGGGGGAGAUUAAUGUGAUCAUGCCAUGGAGUCAUAGACUCUCCGCAUUGGAAGGAA